rnacentral:siRNA from 1 species
UAUAACGUUGUUUACCGUAAUGCC